CCCGCACAAGCGGCGGAGCAUGCGGAUUAAUUCGAUGCAACGCGAAGAACCUUACCAAGGCUUGACAUAUACGAGAACGGGCCAGAAAUGGUCAACUCUUUGGACACUCGUAAACAGGUGGUGCAUGGUUGUCGUCAGCUCGUGUCGUGAGAUGUUGGGUUAAGUCCCGCAACNAGCGCAACCCUCGUUCUAUGUUGCCAGCACGUAAUGGUGGGAACUCAUGGGAUACUGCCGGGGUCAACUCGGAGGAAGGNGGGGAUGACGUNAAAUCANCA
rnacentral:rRNA from 1 species